UUCCAGCUUCAUCCAACUCAGAAAUAUACUAGUACAAAUAGUUUUGUGGAAUUCCCAAACUGGGCCAGCUUACAACAAGCAAAAUAGAAACCAGGCUACAAUCAAAAGAAGCUAAACCAUUGUACAGGAUGAGAAACUAGACAUCAAUAUUCAGGAAGCAGCCAACGCCCUCUUUCACUUCGUCGGUCUCCCAGGCCAGUAGUCACACUCACGAAACUAACAACACUCUUGUGCAUGUUACAGAAAAAAGAAAAAGGACAAGAGGCGCUAGCUGCAACACAACGGCAACUAGUUGUACAAGCUGUACCAAAAGUCUACAAUAAUGUAACCAGUUUCAUAUAGCACAUGAAUAAAGGCAUUUCUCAUCCAUUAUUUAAUCGCGAAGUGAUGUCUGCUCCCAUGGGUUGAGCUGCAAAGUAUCAAACAAGUUCUAGUCAAAUGUUUGCAAAUUCCAGUUUCGUGCAUAAAUACAACAAGUCUAUGGUACAGAGAGUAUCGUGGAUUUUCCAAGAUAAAAAACAUAUAUAUUCCAUAGGAAAUGCACAACAUAAACAUUCAGCAAGUCGAUUUGAGAAGGUAAGCUAAUUCUAAGAAUAAAGAAUUAGCAAGUCCAUGAUCCGAGAUUUGUAAUUAUGUCUAUUGUGCAGUUCAUUUCUUUCUAUCACUUACAGGAUUGAGAAUCUGUAGAUAGCUCUGGUUGAUGGAACAGAGUUGCACUCAUCAGUUGUGUUAUAAAAUGCGACACCAUAUAAAACAUUUGUGGUAAGAGUACAGUGAAUAUGUAGCAGUGGAGUUUAUUAGCUCCAGUUUUGUAGGAAUAAUUAACAAAUAUCCUCUAAAUUGGCACACGGUUUCUUUUUGCAGGACCUUGUGCUUGCCAAUACUCUUCCAGGGGAGUUCCUCUGUUCUAGCAAGACAGCAGGUUAUAGCUCUGUAAGUACUCAAUUAUAAGCAAAAUAGUGGAACUGCAUUGGUGGUGCGCAUUGUUACAAAUAUUUGUCUAUGCAAUAUAUAAUGAUAACCUUGUCCAUUUACUUAGUAUACUUUAUCCAUUAUUAUCCUUGUGUACAUGAGCAUGAAUGCCAAAGUUUUGUCAAGUAACAAGAACUCAUGAUUUUAGGAAACAGACUAUUCAUAGCAAUGCUAAACAACAUCUGAAAAAUUCUUACAUGCAAAGCUAUUUAUGUUCCACAUGGAAUUUCAGUAACCAACUUGUAAUAUAGAUUGCUUCCCAUUUUCUCUGAAGAACAGGCAACAACAAAUAUAAAUGUCGUUGUUGAUACGCUGCCACAGUUUCACCAUUGCAAAAACAAAAACCCUGAAGGUGGCCUGGAGCAGAUGCGUAC
rnacentral:lncRNA from 1 species